rnacentral:lncRNA from 1 species
UCAGAUAUUUUCAAUUUGAUAUAGCUCGGACGAAUAAUCUAAUACAUAGAAAAGAAAUAUAUAUAUAUUAUGAAAUAUAUUAAAGAUAUAAUAAUAUAUAUAUAUUAAAGAAAUAAUAAGGGGAAAAUACGAAUUUAUUGGUGUUUUCAUUCGAUCAUUAUAGACAUUUUUUUAGAUCUUUUUUUAUUUGUUAAUAAUUUGAGGAUUCCUAUUUCUCUAAGGAGAACAUAAAGUCAUAGCAAAUAAAAUUGCCAAUUUUGAGUAGAAAAAAAAUGAAUAUCAAGCGUUAUAGUAUGAUUUUUAAUACUCUAAAAAAGUAAGAUGAGCGGUGGGGGAGAGAAAAUUUUUGGGAUAUAUUGAUUCGGAUUGAAUUGCAAAUACAGCAACGAUAGAAUCAAUGCAAUUCUGAAUUGCAAUAAACAAGCGUGGUCUCUCAAAUAGAAUCGAACUGCUAGAUGACGUCGAGUGAUGAAUUCAACGAUUCCAAAAAAAACUAAGAGAUGGAUGAAAUUACGCAAGGAAUCCAGGUCUCAAAAAAAAAAAGGAAAAUGGGGAUAUGGCGAAAUCGGUAGACGCUACGGACUUGAUUGUAUUGAGCCUUAGUAUGGAAACCUGCUAAGUGUUAACUUCCAAAUUCAGAGAAACCCUGGAAUUAAAAAAGGGCAAUCCUGAGCCAAAUCCGUGUUUUGAGAAAACAAGGGGUUCUCGAACUAGAAUCCAAAGGAAAAGGAUAGGUGCAGAGACUCAAUGGAAGCUGUUCUAACGAAUCGAGUUAAUUUAUUUAGGUUCUUUUGGUAGUGGAAAUCCUUUUAAAUUAGAGAAAGAAGGGAUUUUUACAUCUAAUAAACACGUAUAGAUACUAACAUAGUAAACGAUUAAUCACAGAAUCCAAGUAUAACAUAGGUUCUUUAUUCUUUUUUAGAAUGAAAUUAGGAAGGAUUAUGAAAUAAAAAAUUAAUAAAUUUUUUAGAAUUAUUGUGAAUCCAUUCUAAUUGAAUCUUGAGUAAUCAAAUCCUUCAAUUCAAAGUACUUGAGAUCUUUUAAAAAGUGGAUUAAUCGGACGAGGACAAAGAGAGAGUCCCAUUCUACAUGUCAAUACUGACAACAAUGAAAUUUCGAGUAAAAGGAAAAUCCGUCGACUUUAUAAGUUGUGAGGGUUCAAGUCCCUCUAUCCCCAUAUCCUUUUUAUUCCCCAACUAUCCUCUUUUAUUCCCUAACUUUUAUCCUCUUUUUUUCUUUUUAUCAAUGGGUUUAAGAUUCAUUAGCUUUCUCAUUCUACUCUUUCACAAAGGAGUGCGAAGAGAACUCAAUGGAUCUUAUCCUAUUCAUUGAAUAGAUUUCUUUUUUAUUAGAGUAUCCGCAAGGACUCUCGGUUAUUAACUCUAUUUUUAAGUAUUAUUAAGUAAUCCAUGCACAAUGCAUAGGACCACCCCCCCCCCCAUUUUUCAAUUUGGAAUUUGAAAUACUUUGAUUGAUUUUUGAGUCCCUUUAAUUGACAUAGAUACAAAUACUCUACUAGGAUGAUGCACAAGCCUUGGCCACGGCUGAUCUAGCCGUUGUGACCCGUUGGAUAAACUGAAUUGAGCCUCCAGCUCACACUUUAUCACUUCGUCUCACAACGGUUAGAUUAGGUAGUCAAGCACGAAAGCGACAGAUUUUCAAACACAUUUGAACCCAGAGGAAGGCUUCACGUGGAAGUUUCUGUGAAGCCUGAAAUGCUUCAUUCUUCACUCCGACGGAAAACACACAUUGAAAGAGGUUUUUGCCUAAGCUGAACAUGAAGAAUAAGGUUUCACCUAAACUAGCUCCACACUUCAAACCCCCCUUCAUAGUACUGCGUUCCUAUACUCAAGUGAAAGAAAAACUACGGAAAGACCUAUGAAGAAUGCUAUGCUUCACGUUCUUCACCGUUCUUCACUGAGUUCUUCAUACUUCACGCCAGUACCUGUACUUCAAUUUUUAGGGGUCAUCGAUGCUGGUUAAACCAAUUCUUUCGAGGAACUAAAACCGGAAACACUCAGUGUAACUCAUUAGUUCCUCAACCAUGUUGUCAUCAUUCAUCAAAACCCAUACAGGGGCAAGGUUUCCCUUUCAAAUGGUGUUUUUUGAUGAUCGCAUGGUUGUUCCUAAUAAUCAAGACAGAAGAGAGUCUAUUCUCAAAGAAGCCCAUGACACACCUUUUGCUAUCCAUCCCGGUUCUACCAAGAUGUAUCAAGACAUCAGAAAGAGCUAUUGGUGGACUGGAAUGAAAGAGCACAUUGCUAGAUAUGUGUCUGAAUGUGAUGUAUGUCGCCGUGUUAAGGCAGAGCAUCAGAAGCCUGCUGGUCUUCUUCAACCUCUUAGUGUUCCAACAUGGAAAUGGGAGAAGAUUGAGAUGGACUUCAUCACUGGGUUUCCAAAAUCUCGCAAGGGCAAUGAUGCAAUCUUUGUGGUGAUUGAUCGACUUUCUAAAGUUGCUCAUUUUUUGCCUGUCAAGGAAACAAUCUCAGCUAGUCAAUUGGCUGAAUUGUACACUACCAGAAUUGUCUCUCUGCAUGGUGUCCCAGUUGAAAUAAGCUCCGAUCAUGGAAGUAUCUUUACAUCCAGAUUUUGGGAAAGCUUUCAGAAGGCAGUGGGCACUAAUCUCCUUUUCAGCACCGCUUUUCAUCCUCAAACUAGUGGUCAAGUUGAAAGGGUAAAUCAGGUCCUUGAAGACAUGCUUCGAGCUUGUGUCAUACCUUUUGGUAUGAAAUGGGAGGAAUCUCUGCCGUUUCCGGAGUUCUCUUACAACAACAGCUAUCAAGCAAAUCUGGGCAUGGCGCCAUUAACUUUCCUCUAUGGUUGUAAAUGUCGCACUCCCUUGAACUGGACCGAGGUAGGUGAACGUCAACUCUUCGGCCCAGAUUUGAUUCAAGAAGCUGAGGAUCAAUGCCGUAUCAUUCGGGGAAAAUCUGUUAGCAGCUCAAUCCCGUCAAAAGAGCUACUAUGAUAACAAACACCAAGAGGUGGUGUAUGCUCCCGGUGAUCAGGCGUAUCUUCGUGUCACUCCGAUGCGAGGUACACAUCGUUUCAAUGUGAAAGGCAAGCUUGCACCUCGUUACAUUGGCCCCUUCAAGGUGAUUGCAAGGCAAGGCGAGGUAGCUUAUCGCCUCGAGCUUCCUCCGAAUCUCACCAAGGUCCAUCCUGUGUUCCAUGUUUCCCAACUCAAACGUUGUUUCAAGGAUCCUGGUCGUGCAGUCGACCAUGAGACCAUCGAGCUCCGCAAAGAUCUCACUUACAAGGAGUGUCCAGUUCGCGUUCUCGAUGUGAAAGAACGUCGCACUCCCAACAAAACUCACAAAUUCUACAAUAUCUUUUGGUCUCAUCACUCUGACAAAGAAGCAACAUGGGAACGUGAAGAUCAGUUGCGCAAGGACUGUCCUACCUUUCUUGCGGAUGCCUGGGAAUCUCGGGACACGAUUCCUUUUAGUGGGAGAGAAUUGUAACAGCCCUAGAGCAACAACUUACAUUUAAGCCCUUGUUGGACCUGUUUGUAAUUUAAUUAAAUGUUGCAUGACAAUUACAUCUGCAUUCAUGCCAUGCCAUGUCUACUUAUUGUGUCACAUGAGUUAAAUUUGCAUCUCAACUUGUAGGUUGAAUUCUUGUUGUUUGAAUUUGCUAAGAAGAUUCAAGUAUGAAUCUUCCCUUCUUGAGUUUGAGUUCCUUUUCCAUAUUUUAUAAAAGAUAGUCAAAUGGAUUUUUCAAUCUUUAAUUCCAUUUGACAUUUUCAAAUACUAGUACUAUAUUUAAACUCUCCUAUUCCUUAGCUCUUCAAAUUGGUAUUUGAAUUUUGAAUCCAAAGUUAUUUGCAAAAGAGAAAACAGGAAAAGGAAAAGGAAAAGAAAAGAAAAAGAACUUACCUGCUUGCCUUCUGCCCGAGUCUGCCCAGCCGCCUCGGCCCCUUCCUUCGCGCGCCAGCCGCUCGGCCCAGCAGCCCAGCAACGCAGCAGCCGCAGCCCAUCUCCUUAGCACGCCGUCCCGCUUUCUGUCUCCCCGCAGCGAAGGCGUAUUCCAGGAAAUGCGCCAUAUCUCACAGGCUUUCUUCCUCCUCACCUUUUCUUCCUCCUGGCCGGUGAGCCCCACGCGCCACGUCCGCCCUCGACAGCGACAGCCACCCCGCCUCGUCUACUUAAGCAGCGCCACGCCCCCUUCUCCUCCCAGCGCAAGGCAAACCCUAGAAGGGUUUCCUCUCCCCCGUUUCUUGCGCCGCCGCCGCUGCUUCUUUCGGGCCGUGGACGCCCCUGCGUCGCGCCGCCGCCACCGGCUGAACCCCGACGCCCCGACCACGUCACCGAGUGCGCCUCUUCUUCCUCCACGCACGGGUGCAAGGAAUCGGAGCGAGAUCGCCUACAUCGACGCCCACAACGACUUCUUCCUCUCCGGCCGCUACCCGUCUCCGACGAAAUACCGGCGAGCACGUCCGUGCAAACCUUGUCAGCUUCCUCUCACGUCACCGGGGUGAGCUCCUCUCUCUCUCGCCUCUGUCCGUGCCUUCUUUCGAGCACCGUAGCGUCGUAGCGCCGCCCGCACGCUCCGGCUUGCUGCCGGCGAGCUUUAGCUCGUCGCGCUGCGCCGCCAUUUGCGUUAUGGUCUGUGAGGUGGCCUUCGUGCCACCUAGGUUUACUUUUUCCGCGCGUUGUUUUCGAGCUAGAUGGUUGCCUCCGCCGCUUGCCGUGGUCGCCGGCAUCCAUGCCUCGCCGUGGCCGCCGCGCGUGCCCCCAAGCCGCCCGCUUGGGUUGAGUUAGGAGGGUUUACGCCCUGCAUCUUGUAAGAUCCGAAUCGCAGCCCACCUGGUUACCUUGCUCAUCCGUUCGCUCUGGUCAGUGACCGCGGUCAGCCAGCUCGGUGCGCCCCGCCUCGUCAGCUUGUCCGGGCCCGCUGUCAGCCGCACAGGUUAGCUGCGCCUGAGUAGCUUUAGAUUGCUGUGUUUUUUUUCCCGUUUUGUUUUAAAAUUCCAGAAAUUGUGUUAAUCUGUUUUAAUUCCUAGUAAAUGCAUGCUAAAUCCAAUUUGGGCAAACCAUAUACGUUUUGGAAACAGAAAAAUGCAAGGAAUUUAACUGUGCAAUUAGAAUUACACUUUGGGGUUUCAAAUUUCAAAUCUGUCCCAGAUUUGAAAUUCAAACGUAUAAACUUGUGUAGUUUCUAAUUUAAAACUAGUAGCUCAUCUGUAAUUAAUGUAAACAUCAAAGUUGAUCCCUGUAACUUGUAGAACACAGUAGCAUACUUGGGUAGGCCAUUUGUUUAUUUUAAAGCAGCUGUUUACCAUGUUCUAAUCACCUAAUGGUUAAUUUUGUUGCUAAAUGGAAUCAUUUCACUUGCAUAUUUUUGCAACAUGUUGUCACAUGCCAUCUCAUGUUGUAUUGUGCAUUGCACCUAUGAAUGGUUACUUAUUUGCGUAUUGUGUGAUUUGGUUCUUUACGAUAGCGACUCCGACUUACUCCGUCGACGAUCCGAGUUACCACACUUCUUCGGAUCCCCUCUCUCGGUGCCCAGCGACCGAGAAUCUGGGCAAGCAGCCAUUCCUUGAUAAUGUUGAUUAUACCCAAUGCCUCUCUCUCAUUCUUGCAUUAAGUUACGUUCUCGGUUAUUGUCACGAUCCCUCUAGAAUUGCAUAGCUUUAGUCAGCUCUACUCAAAUGCCUGUUGUCUUGUUCCUUAUCCUAUUACCAUGUCACAUCUUUGUUAUUGCCCUAGUUGGUCAUUAGAAGUUUGCUUAGCUUGCUAGUCUAGUGUCCUUACUUGGGGUUAUACAAUUGUUACAUCCACAUGCUACUUUCUGUAUUUAAUUGCAAUUAUUAAUCUGUGACAUGUUAUUACCUGCACAAGGCAACGAUGGGAGGACGUGCUAACGCAUUGGUGUUUUGUUCCAUUGGCGCCGACCUAAGGACUGAGUUCUCGUUUUCGCCGACCCAAGAAACUUCGUGCUAACCGCUCAUGGGAGAAUAUAUGGGUUCCCCCUCGGCUUAGUACUCGUUUCAUAGCUCUUCCAGGGGCACAUAGUUCGGGCGUUUCAUUUGGCAUAUCGCAUAUAUACUGGUGUUGUGUUUGGAGAUUUCUUGGUACUUUGCCUACAUAUAGGACCGUGGCACAUGUCUGGAGUGGUCAUUCUGCGGACACUGAACCACUACCAGCUGUUCCCGCAACUCUUGAGUCCGUACGACGCUUUGGCCGGGCUCUCGUUUCGGAUUAGACUCAGUUGGGUGGUUCCCUGGAUUAGUUGUGUGGCUUGGAAACGUCAGGUCGCUCAAUCCUGCCGGCACAUGCUUUUGCGUGUGUUCCAUUCUAGUGGCGUCAAGGGUUGGACGAACGUGUACGGGUAAAUUGGCAACCCUGCAGGGAUAAAUCUUUCUGAAAGCCGUGUCCGCGGUUACGGACCCGUAAUAAUUGUAACUUAAUCAUAGAUUCUGAAAGACUUGGUUGGUCAUUACUUGAUCAUAGAGAACUCAAUCAAAUUAAUUAACUUAAUCUCUUCAACUUGAGUAGUAUAAUGCCUUUAAUCAUGGAUAUGCUUAAAACUGCUUAAGUGUGAGUGCCUUUGGAUCAUUUCCUCACAAGGGGUUGAGGGGGUGAUAAGAAGUUGUGUUUGUUUGGUGUUAGUUGUUAGAAGAUCACCUCACUUGGUAGACGCUUCUUAUCCUCUACUUAGACGAUGUCAUUAGUGAGUCUCUCCAGAUAUUUUGCUGCUGCAUAACCCCACCAUAUUAUCCACCCUUUUUGAGACUUGUUGCAUAUCUAGUUUAGCUCUCCCGUAAGUCUUGCGAGUACCUUGUACUCUGCUUUGCAACGUUGUUUUCUCUAGAGUUUUCGGAGGAACAGGCGGCUGGUUACUUCGUGAAGUUCGACGACGACAGCUUCGACGUUUAGCCAGAAGAUUCCAGAGCAGGGUUCUAUGAACUUGUGGCGGGCUCUCCUUUUUUUUUCAGUUUUAGCCUCUUAGGCAAUAAUUGUAACUUGUCCGUACUCGGGCCUAAUUUGCUUCCGCUGGUGUAAUGAUGUUGUAAUAACUUGGUAUUUUGCUCCUUGUAUGAGCUUGGCUUAAUCUUGAGUCUUAGAGUGAUGUAAUGUUAUCAUUUUUGUAACAUCCUACGGUGAAUACAUUGCGUGUAUGUUGUGAAGUGUUCAUCGUAGGGAGGCACUGGGGAUUGAUUUAUGCGCGAGUUAGCAUUUGGGGCUAAAUUGCAUAAAUUCAGUCUCGGGGUGUCACACGAGUAAAAUACCCGCCACCGAAGACCUACAAACCGUCACUGUAAAUCCCUCCGGCACCACCCGAAUAGUGCGUGGAGUACAGCUGUGGCCGGCGCAGUACCCACGACAUUUCCAGUGGCGGUCUGUGGCCACCGCCACUGGAACCUUUUCCAAUGGCGGUGGUGUCUAACCGCCACUGCUAUAUGUUCAGUGGCGGUGGUUUAUAACCGCCACCGGUACUAUUUAAAUGAAUUAUGUGUAAAAAUAAAUAUUCCCGUAGCACAGAAAUAGCAGGAAUACAGCACAACACAGAAAAUAGCAGGAAUACAGCAACACCGUAUACAUCACCAAAGAAAUAGAAUAGCAGCAAAUAUAUUACAAAGUUCCACACGAGUUAAACAUUCAAGUCACAUGCAUGUAUACAACGUGUUCGAAAGAAUGAGCAACAAAUAAAAGUGUUCCACACAAUUUAACUACUUUUCGCGACAAUGCUGCUGCCGUAGUAAUCCCCACUCGUUUUGAGGACCUCCUUGUUGAGGAUUUCGCCGAUGUCCUUUUGGAUCUCGUACAUGAGAAUUUCUGAGUUGUGCCCUAACUCGGCGUUGGCCAGAAACCAAUUCCUCACUUCUUCGAAGGUCUUCUUCCCCUUCGGCUAGAGGUCGUUGAUGAACUGCUGAAUAGUGUGCGUGCAGUAGUAACCACAGUAGACGGAUCCUUCAGGCAGUUGCUCGCAGGGGAACCUGAAAGUGUGCCUGAGGGGAGCGUCAGGAUUGCGGCUGAAGCCAGGCAUCGCGUACCAUUUCACCGCGUUGCGAUAGGCUGCGUCGAUGACAUAUUUGAUCAGGUCAAAGUCUCGUUGUGAUUCAUUCUCCUUGCGUCGUAGUGGAUAUAAAUAUUUGACCCCUCCAAGAUUGAGGCAGAUGGCGAUUGUCACCCAAUGGCCACUGUUUCACAAAAGGACGCACAUUGUAUUAGCCAAAUAAUAUAACAAGCAAGUCUUCCGACGGAAAAAGAUGUAUAUAUUCACGCGAACUGAAAACAACUUACUGCAGAUGGUACAAUAUCAAUAUAAAACGGCGGUCUUUGUGCUUCAACAUGAAUUGAGUGAGGUAUUCAAUCGCCAACCUUCUACUUUCGGCCAACAAUGGGCUUGGACCAAGCAAAGUGGCAUUGAAGAGAAGGGGGUCGGCGACAGCCAUCCCAUAUUGCUUCACCAUAUAGGCCUCCCUCGUGUAGUGUACACACCACAGUCUUAAUAUGGCGUUGUCGAGGCACUUGCGAUUGAAGAGGUGAAACAAGUCGAGGAAGUCAAUGCCGAAGGUAACGUCGUUUUCCCUCUGGAUUUCCCCUGUAUUGGAGUCGAAGAAGCCAUAAUGCUUUGGCACUUGAACCCUAAUUUCCAGAUUUGUUAGGUCUGCGCCUGAUGAUGCCACGUUCAUGUAUUUCUCAUGGAGCUCUUUCAUCUCCCGUGGCAGGCGAUACAGGUCAUCCAGGGACACCAUCGGUUGUCCGGGGUGGAACAACAAAAUUUGGGAGAAUCGCCUGUCCACGAAAUAAGAUCCAUCAGGCAAUCUAUCUCCAACACGGGGGUGGGUGGGAAUCUUCAGAAUGUCUGGUCGCUCUUCCCAAAUCCCUUCUAUCUGCGGCGCGGUCUUUGGUUGUCUUCUUGUAGAAGACGACUCUUUCCCCUCCUUGGAGGAGCCCUUGCUUGCCUUGCCGCCUGUCCCCCUCUUGUGAAUUUCCUGCGUCUCAGGAAAUCGGAAUUGUCCGGUUUAUGGGGGACCUGCAUCCCAGAUGGGGCACUUGGACGGGGCUCCAACGGGGUCGAUGCUGUUGCGGCUCUCCGAGGCAUGGGUCUUGGUACAGAUGGCUUCGGGGCUUCGGGUUUGGGCGGCGACGGAGGAUUUUGGCCUGCAUCGUCGUCGCUGCACUCCGCGGCAGGUGAGAAUUCUCGUUUUGCGUGCUCGUAGUCCAAAGGACCGGGUGAGGCGCCAAGCGGUGACGGAGACGUCAGGCGCUGGGCGGGUGGAGACAGACUGAGGCGGGGCGACGGAGAUGGAGACGGAGAAGGCUCCGUAGCGAGGACCACCAACCUCCUAGGCCAGAUGACGUAGGAGUUAACGCAAUCCCUUAGGGUCGUCACCUCUUCGUGCGGAGGAUAAGGGACCGGUUCGUUCUCGAAGCCCUUGAGCACGGAGUCCACCUGCACCCUGACCAUGUCGUCUUGCAGGGUCACGUGGUGCACCACGGCCGUACACGGCAUCAGCAACCCGCACGCGCCUAGAGGAUUACCCACCGUCGGCAUGUGUAGCCGGCAUUUGACGUCCUUCUGCGCAUGACAAACAUGGCAGCAUCAUUAAUAGAUUGGAGCAUGAUAGUGGUAUUUCACUAUUUUUCGUACCACACGAAGACGCUUACCGUGAUGUUCUCGUCGGGUGGCCCAAGCGGGUCGAGCUGGCACUCGGUGCUGGAGUAUGAGGUGCUCUUAUUCCCCAGCGGGGAUAGAUCCGGUGUGGGUGGGGUUGGUUGGAUGGGCGUCGGCGGGAAAACACUGUGAUCAAUGAACUUGUUGACGUCACGCUGGUCCCUUGCAUGCCGCAUGAGCUUCCUAAGCUCCUCCCUCGCCAACACCUGGAUCUUCUCAUCUAAUUGCUCAGAGCUCUGUUCUUUGCUGGCCGCCCUUCUGCGUUUCCAGGAACCUUGCUCUUUCGCCAUCUGCCUGCGAAAGGGCCCGGAACCGACACCUCGCAUAUGGCCCCCGUGCUCAUUUCGUUGCAGAGCAUAGCUGAUGGCAUCAUCCCACUGUUGGUUGAUAGACGAGUGGGAGCCAUCGACUCCCACUCUGCCAUUGCACCCUGUAUACAAAAGACAACAUGCUCGGUGUUAAUCUUAUAUGUGAGUAUAAGAAGGCCAACCGAUAAAAGAAGAUGUCAGGACGAGGCCUUAUGAGUGCAGCCUCUUGCUUCUCUGACAUAGGCUCCAGGCCCGCCCACUGAUUUGCGGUCAUGGACGACCGCAUCCAUUUGCUGGAGCGCUCACCGCGAAGCAAAGUUGGGACCCUCGGCUGUAUCCCGGCUUGGUCCAAUGCGGCGUCCUCCUUCGCCCACACCUUCUCCUUUUCGGGGCGUCCACGUCUGCCGAGGCGGUGGUCGAAGGGCCUUUUCUCACAAAGCUCCUUGUACCAUUUUUGGCUGGCCUUGAAUUCAGGGGACCUGACCCACACCUUGAACCUCUCCCAGUCCUCCUCCGAGAUCCCCUUCCAGUGCUUGUUAACCACAGUCUUCCAGUCUUUGCCGAUGAGCUUCCUGUAGUUAUAUUGCCACGUGCUCUGGCCCUUCCUAAUGACUUGGUGCAUCCACCAUUCCAACCGUACACGGAUCUCAUCAUUGGCAGGCACGAACCGCUUCCAUGCCGCGUCGUAACAGUCUUGCUUCACAGCUUCAGAGACGUUGCUCCAUCUUUGAUAGAUCCGAGCGCGUCCCCGUACGAUGGUGUUGCAUGUGUUGGCGAAUUUUUCUGCAGCCUCCACCGGUUCCUCCGGGUAGCUUUCUUUAUUGAGCUUUGUGACAACCCACGACUCCGACGGCACCUUGUUUGCCCCCCGCUUUGACUUUGACUAAGUAGUCGAGGCCGUUGCCUGAGACGUCGCACCCUGGGCUUCUUCCUCGUUAGCUGCUCCUCGAAGGAGCAGCUGCUCCUCGGCUCCUUCAAGGAACAGCUGCUCCUCGGCUUCUUCUUCGCUGUGCUCGAAGCCAUCACUCAUGGCAAUUUCCGAGCCCGAGGAAGAUGCCCCCGCUUCUUCGUGGACUUCUCCCUCCACAACCGGUGGCUGCUCAGGCACCUCUUCAACGCGGGCCUAAGGUUCCUAUCCAACACUUAUAAAACUAAUUUAAAAAAACCAGAAAAUUUCGGCAUAACCUAUGCUGUAAAACAAGAAAAUUUCGGCAUGACCAUUGCUGUAAAACAACAAAUGAGUCUGCCCGAAUUUUAUACCUGCAUAAAAAAAAUUCCCACCCACAUAUACCCCCUCUGCACAAUGGCCGGACCCUUCUCAAUGACCCGGCACGAUGGCCGGGCCCACAUUGCUCAUGUCAACCGACACGAUGGUCGGGAUCACAUGCACCAAUAACAACACCAACAACAACAUAUUUAUCAAAUAAGCAUCAAAUUAUCUUAAGCUACAACAAGUUAACCUAACUAGCAGCAACAUAUACUAAUAAAUGAACAGAAAUAAGCACUUAUAAGUUAUAUAACAACAAAUUAAUCAUUUAAGUAAACUAACAGCAACCCUAAACAACAAGAAAUUUCUGUUCUGCCUAAGAUUAAUCAAAUUAACCCUUAUAAGUUAUAUACUAAACAACAACCCUAAAUAGAAAAUUAAACCUAAACAAACAGCAACCCUAAAACAUCAAAUUAAACCUAAACAACAACCCUAAACAGAAAAAUAAACCUAAACAAACAACCCUAAACAGAAAAUUAAACCUAAACAAACAACUUACCUCGGCAGUGGCAAGGGCGGCGGCAUCCGCGGUCGGGCCGCGGCGGGCGCGGCGGUGGAGGCGGGGUCGGCGGCGGGGGCCGUAACGACGGUGAUCGGGGUCGGGGGGGGGGGGGCAGCCGUGGCCGGUGGAAGCGGCGGCGUCGAGGAGGCCUGGCCGCGCCCCCGGCGAUGCGGUCCGGGCGGCGGCAAGGCAGGGCCGUCGUCCGUUGCGACCCCCCGCCGGAGCUCGGGUCCUGCGACGACAUGGCGGCGGCGGCGGCUCGGGUUAGGGUUUCGGCGGUGUCGGGGAGGCGAGGAGAAGGGCGGCGGCGAGGGAGGCACGAGGGAGGCGAGGGAGAAGGGCGGCGGUGGCGCGAGAUUUUGGUAGGGCUUCACCGUCGGGGAGAGAGAGGAAGCGCUACUAGUCCAAAAUAGACGCGCGCUUCGGAUACAAAAUUUUCGCCAAGUCCGGCUCUGUAAUAUAUAUAGGGAACAUCACCAAUGGCAGGUAUUUAGUGGAUACCCGUCAGGGGUGACCCCUCCUAGGGUUACCGGUGCAGGAGAUCACCGGUGGCAGGGAUUUCCGGAUACCCGCCAUUGGCGGGUAUAUGAAAACCCCGCCACUGGUAAUUGGAACAGGAGUGAGGGUUCACCACAUUCCUGUUCCACGCAUCAGUGGCGGUGAUAUUGUAUAUACCCGCCACUGGUUAAUAUUCUGGCUCUAGUAUUAUAUUCUGUGUCUCGCUGAAAAUUAUAGCACUUGUACUUUCAAGUGUAUAAUAAUUAUUUCUUGUCUCACUAAAGUUUUCAAUGCUAAAUACAUUGUUGAAAAUCAAAUAUUUAUGCUUUUGUAGUGUUUACUGUGGUUAAAAAAUGUUAUAAAUUACAAAAUUGCUCAGAAUGGUCUGAUAUUUGGCAUGGAAGCUUCUCACACAACAAUAUGCCUGCAUAUGAAGUUUGGUGUAUCCAAAUGAAACCCAUAAGAAUACCAUUUUGGGAUCAUCUAGGUAGAUAUCUCUGAUAGCUUCUAAGCCAACAUCCAAAUUGUAACAUUUAAAAAACUUUGAGCUUAAUUUUUUCCAUGUGGCCUCAUUAGACUGAGAGGUGUUCCCAUGCAAAGUUUCAGCUCAUUUCGAUGAAAAUUGAAUUUUAUGGAAUUAAAUUAGCAGAAAAGCCACACAUAAUUACAGAAAUUUGCAUGAAGUACUAUGAAUUAAUGUCGAAAACUUUUAUUGGGAACAAACAUGAUUAUUAUACACCCAAAAGUACAACUGCUAUAUUUUUUGGAAACGCAGAGAAUAUCAUAGGAAUAUAAUAGUGCAUUCUGAAAUUAUUACCAGUGGCGGGUUUAAGGUAAAUUACCGCCCCUGGUGACUGGGACAAGAUUUGGGAAAUCCCCAUGACUUCUAGCACUCACCAGUGGCGGGUUUCCUGUAAAUCACCGCCACUGGUGCCCCCUUCUGGUGGCAGGUUACCUGUACUCACCGCCACUGGUGCUUUAAAACAACGAUGGCGGGUUCCUGUGAUUUCACCGCCACUGGUGGCCUUUUGCGGGCUGCCGCGUGAGGCGAGGUGGGAGUUUAGUCCCACCUUGCUAGUUUAGGUGCGUCCCGACCAGCAUAAAUAGCUUCCUCCCCCUCCUAUUUCAGUUUCCGAAUAAAAUCAAAUGUCUCUCUCCGCCACACCCGCUCGCUUGGCCUAUGGGCCCAGUACCCUAUCUGUGCGCACUAGUGGGCUCGGAUUAUAGCCCCGUGGGCCCGUGCUCUUCUGUCCCAGUAGGUAGUAGGCAGCUCCCGGGUUCGUCGGUCUGGGCCCGAACCCGAAACAGCCUAGUUGACCGGGCGGGCUAAAAAACUUUUUUCCCCUCCUUUUUGUUAGCACGCACCAGUGGCGGGUUUCCUGGGGUCACCGCCACUGGUACGGGCACCAGUGGCGGGUUUCCGGGAACCACCGCCACUGGUACGCGCACCAGUGGCGGGUUUCUUUGGAUCACCACACUGGUGGCCUUCUGCGGGGUGCCACGCGAGGCGAGGUGGGACUACACGCGUUUCGAACGACAUAUAAGGCUUUCUCCCAUCUAUGCAUCAGCUUCCGAAUAUUCCUCUACCCUGUCACCGCCGCUGCUCGCCUAGCCCGUGGGCCUGGUACCUGUAAUGUUCAUUAUGGGUUCGGAUUACAACCCCGUGGACCCAGGUCUGCGCUGGCCUAGUAGGUAGUAGUCUGCUCCCGGGUUCGCCUGGCUGGGCCUGAAUCCGAAAACCUCAGUUGACCCGGGCGGGCUUAAAAACCUUUUUUUUCCUCCUUUGUAAUGAAAAUAACGUGUAAUAAGUUUCAAAAAUAUUCAUUCUAAAAUAAAAUAUGCAUUAUGUAAUUGUUUCUGAAAUCAAAACAAGGAAAUAAAAUAUGAAUUAUGACUAGAAAAAUAUUUCGAACAAAUUUACGGCAUUUGUUUUCAAAUUUGAACAAGUUAAAAUUCAAACCUCGUUAGAAUUCAAAUUACAUUGAAAAUCAUCAAUGAGCAUAAUUUAUCAAAAUUAUACAAAUAGUGAACUAUUGGACAAUCUUGUCUUUUUUCUUUGUUGUCUUCUCUUUCCUCUUAUACGUUUGGACCUCAUCGUGGCUGCUUCUGGGGUAGGCCCCGUCUUGUGUGGGUAAUUUUGUCUUCUUUAUUGUCUGGAUCGUCCGUCUUGCCACCUCUUCUUCUUGCCUGGUCGUGGGAUCGGGGAAACCUUCAUAGUCUUGUUGUGAAGUUACUCCAUCAACCCCAACAAUGCUCAUUUUGCCUCUCCUCACGACUACGCGGUUUUUCGCUAUCGGGUCUUCUAUGAACAAGACUUGUUUGCAUUUGGAAGCAAACUAUCAUUGUUCAAGCAGUGCCGAGAUUCUUUUGACGUUCACCUGAUGACGGGGAACCUCAUUUGGCAAAAUCAUUGUUGUGAACCUAUGAUCUUCAUGCCUGACAUCGCAUGCCCAUCUGAUGCGAAACAUGGCGAUGGUGGUGAAGGUGUAGUCAAGCUCCCAGAUCUCUUCGACCACGUCGUAGUACGCUUUAGUCUGGCCUUCGCUGUCGGUCCCGAUCUCAGCUACGAGCACUAUACCGCUGUUUUGGUACGUACUCUUACGGUCUUGAGCCUUGGUGUAGUACGUAUACCCAUUCAUUGUAUAGGACUGGUAUGUCACGACGUUGCGGUUGGGAAGCCGUGACAACUUCUGGACAAUCUUCUCAUCUUCAUUCGUCGCAGCCCUCGGAUACCAAAGAUCCUUCAGCCACAUGGCGAAUGUAGAAUUGUGUUUUCGCUGGAUCCAAUCAUCAUUCUUGUUAGGGUUGAGGUUUCGAAAUUCUUCGAUGUGCAUGUCCAUGAACGGCUCGACCUCUGGCGUGAGUUGCAGCACCAUAUUGUGUGCUCAUAUAAAGUCGUCCAUUCUUUGGCAGGCAUGCACAUCAAGAUCCUUCCGGGCAAGCCCACCUUCGGAACUUAAUUUGAAAGCCAUAUUUCGACCCGGACGCUUUUGGGAUGCUUCUAAUAACCAACGAAUGGCAAGUGCUCUUCCUUGUUUAGAUCCUAUUUCAAUCGGAACUUUCCGCGUCGAUCCUUUUUUAUUACGUCUUGUUUUUACUCCUAUAUUGGGAGUUACUCUACGUAUUGCUUGACGUAAAACCAAUACACCUUCUAGCUUCCCCUUAUGUCUUGAUUCGGGGACCCCUAUGGGUUUGCGGUCCGCCAACCAAUCAGUGCAGAACUCAAUGCACUCUUCUGCAUGAUAGCCUUCCAUGAUGCUUCCUUCAGGACGCCCUCUGUUACGAACAUAUCGCUUCAGCACGCCUUUGUAUCGUUCGGUCCCAAACAUGUUGUCCAGGAACGAUGGCCCUAACAACAAGAUCUCAUCGGCGACGGGGACCAUCAGAUGGACCAUAAUGUCGAAGAACAUUGGGGGAAAGAACAUCUCACAUUCGCACAAUAUCUGUAUCAUUGCGUCCCUCAGUUGCAGGCAACAGUCCACCGUGAUCGACUUCUGGCCGAUCAUGUCGAAGAAGUCACAGAGCUUCAUGACCGUCUCUCUCAUCAUGGCUCCGUGCAGCCUCUUAUUGCAACCGGAAGUAACUGCGUGAGAAUCACGUGGCAGUCAUGAGACUUCAUGCCAACCAGCUUGUGGCUCUUCAUGUCAACGAGUUUCUUGAUGCUGGAUGAGUAGUUCGAUGGAACUUUGAUGCCAUGGAGACACUUGCACAUUCUAUGCAGCUCGGCUUUGCUCAGACUGUAACACGCAGGUUUGCAUCGCGUAUAUAUCGUGCGCUCACCAUUCUUGUUUUCCUGCGGCGCCUCUUCCUCUAUCGGCCACAGCUUCUCCCUUAUCCCCAUCCACUGCAGGUCCUUCCGUGCCUUUGGUCCAUCUUUUGACUUGUCUGCGUGGUGCAUCAUCAAGCACAACAGGCUGUCGCACAUGUUCUUCUCGACAUGCAUGACGUCUAUGGUGUGACGGCUUUGUAAGAACCUCCAGUAAGGCAGGUCCUAGAACACGGACCUCCUCUUGUACGUAAGGCCGCCAUCUGGACCAGCAGCCGGCUGUGCUUUCCCGGCCACGACUUCGAGGUCCCUGACAAUUUCGUAUACUUCGUGUCUAGUCAGUUCCCUCGGUUUGUGCCGCCUCUCUGCCCUUCCGUUGAAUUUUUUCUUAUCAUCCCUCCACGGGUCCUUCAUCUCCAGCCCCUUACGGUGUCCCAUGUACACAAUCUUUUUUAAUUCUGGCAGGAACAUCCCUUCUGUCUUGUCCCCGCACUUUGUACACGCUUUGUAACCAUGUGUUGACUGACACGAUGAGUUCCCGUUCGCCGGGUAGCCAUGCACACAUGUCAGAAGAGCUGCUCGAAGGGUGAACUCCUCCUUCUUAUGAGCGUCCCAAACCUUUCGACGCUUCUCCCAAAGCUCCUUGAGCUCAUCCUUCAGCAACUCCAGAUACACGUUCAGAUCAGCUCCAGGCUGCUUAGGACCUUGUAUGAGCAUUGAUAGGUGGAUGUACUUCCUCUUCAUGACAAGUCACGGGGGGAGGUUUUAUAUGAAUAGGAUCACCGGCCAUGUGCUGUGUUUGCUGCUCAAGUUUCCGAACGAAUUGAUCCCGUCCGUACUUAUCCCGAACCUGAUGUUCCUGGCCUCUGUGCCGAACUCGGGGAAUUUGUCGUCCAGAGUCCUCCAUUGAGUCGCAUCUGCGGGGUGUCUGAGGACUCCAUCAUCGUUGCGGUACACGCCCUCGGGAUCGAUAUCCGCCUGAGUCGCGUCGUGUUAGAUGAACCACCUGGCAUCCUUCUUGUUCUGGAACCAACGCUCCAGCCUGGUGCCACACGGGAGAUACCAGAUCGUCUUUGCCGCCGGACCACGCUUCACUUCUUCCUCCUCGCCGCUGUCAGGAUUGGGGUCUUUUUCCUGUAUCGGGAUGUUUUGCAUACUGGACAGCUGUGCAUGUCUUUGUAGUCGCCCUUAUAUAUGAUGCAGUUCAGCGGACAAGCAUGGUAUCUGAUGACCUCUAACCCGAGGGGGCAUGUAACUUUCUUCGCCUCGUACGUGCUCUUAGGCAACUUGUUGCCGGAGGAAGUACCGUAUGUAGGUAACUCAGAAUCUUCGUGAAUCCCGAGUGCACGAUGUUGUAUUUUGCCUUUAUAUGCAAAAGCUCGAGCAUUACUUCUAGCACACUGUUAUCCAACCCGGCAUUUUCAUAUAACGGUGUCUCGGCAUCCUCCCUCGGCUUCUCGAACUUACGGGACAUCCUCUCAUCCUCGGUUCAUCCAACUGAUUCUGCAGAUGCUGAUCGUCCAGCAUUUCAACCAUCCUACCGGUUGGAACGUCCCGUGGAUCCUCGCCACGGUAUGCUUCUUCACCAGGCUGGUCGUCAGACUCCAUGUUUUCCAUCUCAAUGCCGUCAUCGACUUCAAUGCCAUCCUCCUCGUGAGAAGUCCACCUUGAAUAAUCAGGCACAAAUCCCCGCAUGAGCAAGUGCAUCUCGACAUCCUUUGGCUCGUACAGCUUGCUGUUCCGACAUCUCACACAGGGACAACACAUCUUAUCACCCUUUUCCUAUGCAUAUCUUCCACGCCGGCAUCGACAAGAGUCUUUAGCCGCUCUAACCCGUCCUCGUACAUCCAAGCACGGCCCAUCGAGCUACAACACAAUUAAAAAAACGAAUCAGCUUGAUCGACAAAAAUGAAAUUUUUUGGCAUGACUUUUGCUAAAAAAUAGCAUUUUGCACUAUGAAAUUCGAUGCCUGCAUUAAAACAAAUUACCACCACCCACAUGAAAACCACCCACAUCGACACAACGGCCGGUAUCACAUCACAUAUGAAAUGCACAGCACGAAGGCCGAUGUCAACACACAUUUAAUAUGAUUCAAACAUGCACGUACACCGGUCCCGAGGUUAAGCUUAACCCUAGGGCUAACCCCCAGGGGCUAUGCUCCCACAUAAGCAGCAACGGCCAUGAACUCUAGAGAGAGAGAGCUACAGAGAGAGAGCUAGAGAGAGAGAGAGCUCAUGGGAGCAAAUUAAAGCCAUAGAGAGGGCAAUCCAGGGGGGAAGGCAGAGCUAUGCUGCGGGGAGCCACGGAUAGAGCGGGGGCAGACCGAGGGAGCCGCUAUAGAGAGAUCGGGGCCAAAUUUCCCGCCAGCGGCCACAGCGCCAUUAAUGGCGAAAUUGCCAAAUUGGAGAAGAAUAGGAGGAGGAAGAAAAGAGAGGAAGAGGGAGGAGAAGGGGGGAGAGCUACCUGCCGGCCGCUGCCAUCAAUUUUGGCGCGAGUCAGGAGAGAGCCACAACUAGUCCAGACAGACGCGCGAGGUCGACCAGCUGCGGCCUCGCACAUUAGUUAUAUAUAGGAAGGGAACCAGUGGCAGGUGUAUGGCUAAACCGCCACUGGCGAUUUACAGUGGCGGGCGGAAAAAUAAACCGUCACUGGAGGGGUCAGUAGAGGCGGGUUAAAGGAGGCCCACCACUGGUGCUCUCCCACCAGCUUCCCCGCUUUAGUCCCACCUCGCUAGUUUACAUGAGUUCCGACCAGCAUAAAAAGGAUUCCGCCGUCCCACUUACCGGUGGUUACUACUCAGUGCUCAGUGCGUUUCCCGUUCCGGUUGAGUACUAAACUAAUGAUCGGGUGGUGCUUAAGGGGUUCAGGGAUGGUCAUUGAGACUGAGUAGUACCAUCAUGUAUUGAGUGGUCUACCAGUGGCGGUUCUUUUUUACGGCCGCCACUGGUGGUUGUUAGGGUUUCUAUGGCCAUGUCCAGUGGCGGUGACAAACACCGCCACUGGUGCGGUGACUUGUUUCGGGACAAUAUUCACCGCCACUGGUGGCGCUCGUGGAUGCCUCGAGAAGUCUCCAGUGGCAGUGUGUUUUUUGGUCCGUUUUAACCGCCACUGUAAGAGAUCACGGAUGGGGUUUUCUGUAGUAGUGUAUUCAGAAACAUAUCCCGGGUACACCAUAUGAUUAUUACGCUAAUGUUGCAUGACUGGUUUAGCAAAAUAAACUGAACCUUAACCCAAAUGACGCAAGUGGUCACUACACCAGAAAGUAAAGAACUAUUCAGAUGUAUAUAUAUAUAUACCAAAGUCUAAAAAUCAAUGCAGAAAAGGAUUUGCAAAUAAGUCACUAAAUUUUACACUUAAACAGAGAAAUCUAAGUGCACAGGCAACCUACAAGUUACACGACAGUAGAUUUGUCAGAAAAUCGAGUGUGCCAGCGCUACUAUUUCUACUUCGUUGUACUAUUAUUCAAGCAAGAACCUUCGCAUACCCGACUACUGGUUUUUCUAGUAAUUGCAUAAUAUUGCUUCUUGCUCCAUACACUGCAUGGAUUAUGUGAUACGUUAUAGCUAUAGCACUAAAUACAUUAUUAAAUAUUAGUAUAUUCGGACAUUUACUUGAUGAUCUAGGGCAAGGCCGUGAGAGGCAGCCAUUGCCCGAUCCCUUGUUCUUGUGCGUGUUCCUGUGAGUUGUGAGCCCUGGUUCUUGUGCGUGUUCUUGUGAGUUGUGAGAGGCAACUCCAACAAACUAAAGACUUACAAUUGGAUUAAUUAAUACCGGAGUUGCUUACACAUAGCCUUGAUCUAUACGCAACUCUUGUUCCACGAUGUUGAUUAGUUUCGUCUGCAAAAUACAAUCCUGCAGAUAAAUCUUGAGAUGAUACGCUAUACUACUAUUGCGCAAUACAACCCGAAAUGGGGCGUGGCCAAGUGGUAAGGCAGCGGGUUUUGGUCCCGUUACUCGGAGGUUCGAAUCCUUCCGUCCCAGAUUGUUUCUGAUGAAACAAAAGAUGAAAUCAUAUUGUACUCCGCAUGAGACAAAACUUUACCCUACGGAGGAAAAACAAAUCAAGCAAUUAUUAAGCAAUUAAAUGUUUAAGACGAUCCGCUGUACUACUAUUAUAUAGAGAUUGAUGCAGUCAUGGAAGAAAUAGACACACCUCUUGUUUGUUCCACGAUGCACCAUUACUUGCAGCAGCCCCAAUUGUAUUUUGCCCUCGAUCCCGUCGCGUUUCUGUUCAUUUCAAUCGGUGCUCUGCUGGUGCUUUGCCCUCGCAUCGCAUCGUUUCUGUUCAGAUCGGUGUCCUCUGCUGUCGCCUUCUCCCUCAUACAACAAAGUCUUCUGGAGGUAGACUUUCUUCCCAUGGUUAUGGCAGCAAAAUUUCAGAUUACCUGUUUCUUUUUUAAUCUCAAGUCAUGACCCGUGGAUUGUUGUUACAUGUUUCCGUAGAGAUAGUGUUGAUUGAAGACGCAUGAAAACCUCAUUCUUUUGGGACAUUUUCCUAUCUUCGCAUGCUUCGCUGAACAGCAUUCCACGUGAGUGUAAAUUCUAGAAUUCACACAGAUACAUAGAAUCCUCUCUCCCAGAAAAAGGGCAAAAAGGCGUAGAAUGUGCUUCAAUGGAUAACUGGAUUACCUGAAAGUGUCCUACAUGUGAAGAAGUGUACUAAAACAUAAAUUCAUCAAACUAUAUCAUCUAUAAUUCAUGUACACCUAUUGCAACUGCAAUGACAUGGUAUCAAUUGCUUACCUGAAAGUGUCCUUUUUGGUGAUGACUUUCACUUGUGUGCUUUGGCUCUCCAUAGUUUGUUGUUAGUCUAUCCAAUCAAAAUCAUUAUUGCUGUCACAGCUUUCUGAAUUGGAUGCAUUUCUCCUAGGUGAGGAACCAAAACUUUCAGAUUAAUUAAAAGGAGAGAAGGGACAACAUCUUGGAACAUCUGUGGACAUGCAAAAGAAUUACCGGAAACAUGGGUCGAAUUUAUGACAGUAAGUGCUUGUCACAAGGAGUUCUAGGCAGUCUAAUGUUGGGGGCGGCUUCUGACGGCUGCCAUCAAUGGUGGACAUGGAGAGGAGGGGACAUAGCAGACACCCUACAGAGGCAGAAGGAUUUCAAGGAGGUAAUACAUAAUUUCAGCACCGCUCUCUUGACAUUAUUGAGCAAGGCGAGAUGUAGGAGAUCGAUUCAACCACCGUGCGAAGCAUCACAAUAAGGCAACAGAAACUCUAGAACAUGUCAACUGGAUGACUGACAUAUCUUCUCCACCACUUCAUAUGAAGAUAAAACUUGAUAUAGCACAUCUGUAUGUUGUAGUGAAAUAAUAUUGCUUUACCAAUCUCCUGCAUGUUAUCUAGAUCGAGGUACCUAGAAAUAAUCAUGUGCAAACCUUUAAAAUCCAUUGUGUGGACUAGAAGGAUAUUUUUUCUUCCGUAGGGCUGCAACUCGUUGGUCUAUAACUGAAGAUCGAAUACUUAAUUAUGCUCCCCCACACAGAAUUUGGUUUGCCUAUUAACUCAAACACGUUGUCGGCUUGUCCCAAUAACCUCCGUAGGAGCACUGCUGCAGUAACCAUGACUCCACUCCAUGAGUCCAUGCAUAAUAAUAGCACAACAUCACCUCCAAGCUGCAAGAGCGAUACCUGCACAGGAACACCAGACAGAGAACACCGAGGAUCAGAGAGGAGUUAAUUGUCUACUCGAAUGGAAGCAGAUGGGCAGGGAUCAGAUGAAAUUGACCAUGAUUCUUCUAGCUCUUAGAUGAAGAAUAGGCCACAGAGAAGAGCAACAUGCGUACCUGCAUUAAUUAGGGAGACUCUCGGAGUUGAAGCACUCAGCACUUUUAUUGUAAAAUUUUAAACAUCCAUUGAUUCAGCUCCUUAAUGACCCUUGAGCUGAUCAAGACAUCGGAUAUGUUAUUAGUUUCAUCAGUACAUUAGCUCAUCCACAUAAAACUUGAUAAGGUCACAAUCACCAAUUAAUAUUUACGAAUUUUUGCCAAUACUCCUGUACUGUAUCUUCUAGGAACAAAAUUGUAUUGCUUUGAUAUGUUAUAUCAAUCACUAAUAUGAGAUAAAAUCAGUAAAGCGCCAUCCUUCUUAGUUUUAGAUAGUUCAAACUGAGCUUGGGUGCUGAACAAAUUGAAGAACAAACAAAUUUCGUCCUAAGAAUCACUGUUAUUUUUUUUGCUAAACAGGGUAUCUGCACUAAUUUAACUGUUGUAAAGUAAAAAGGAUCAAAACUGAUGUACUCCAUCUCGACACUUAUUAUGGUCGGAGGUAGUAAUAGAAACAUUGAGAAAGUAAAUAUUGCCAUCAAAAUAAUCAAAAAAUAAAUAGUGCUAUGCCUCAAAGCACCGAUCAGUACCACCGCAUUAGCAUCAAAUCUAUGCAUGUAUUAGCAACUUCCUGAUAAAAACCUCCAGAAUCAAGAAAGUAAUAAUAAUUAGAUAUAGUUAAGAGUUAAGCACGUUACUGAAAAGGGCAUGAGCACCUCGAGGCGAGUGUGGAGAUCACGUGCAACAUCCACCGUCCUGUGGCGCCAUGGGCAUACAGAUUCUUGUGGUGGAUCGACGGGGAAGCGACCUCGAGAGAGCGAAGGCCUGAAGGGUGAAGGCCACGGUACGGAGGAGACUGGGGCGGGUAGGGGCAGCGUUCUAGCCACAGCUGCCAGGGGCCGUACAGGGAGGGGUACGGAGGAGGCUGGGGAGGUGUUUCACGUAAGAGAUCUCUUCACAUAAUGGCAUUGGUUGGUAAUUUUCUUCAAUCCAGAUGUACGGUUGUGAUUGAUUAAUGCACUAAAUCCAUGGCCGGAAGUUUUGCUUUUUUGUGGGAUUUUCUAGCCUCCUCUCUUUUUUAUGGUUGCUCCGCCAUUUACUUUUAAUAUAUAAUAGAUGUUUAUGCCUGACAAAUUUCCAGUCAUGUUUGAUUAAAUGUUAAUAAGUGCCGUGCAUCCUGCUCUUGAAUUGUAUUAACAAUAUGCAUGUGAAGUAUAAAGUGGAGGUUUGCUGCUACUAUCUAUGAGUCAAAUUUAACUUCCACGUCUAAUUAUUUUCUCUCCACAAAGAGUGUUGCUUUACAUGUAUUUGUGGACAUCCGGUUCUACUAUCUAUGUAGUAUAAAUAUGUUCUAAAUGUAUGUAGGGGCUGGCGCUGUAGUUGUGCCACCUCGAAUACUUUGAUUGAGCUUCUAUGGAAAUUUGUGAUCGUUUUUGCGGUAUGAGUUUUUCUUUAUAGUGUUCUUGGCACAGUGCUUCUCCAUUCAAAUUUCACAGUUUCAUACGACAAAAUAGUUUGCUUGAUGUACGAAUAUUCUUUACUUUGUGGUUAUAUCUUGAUCGUAUACUACAAAUGUUUUGGUUUUCAUUACUUUCUCCGAUCCUAAAUUCUUGUCAUUUUUUUAGUUCAAUCUAUUUAUAUAUUAAAAGUACAUGACAGAGCAACCAGAAAAAAA